rnacentral:rRNA from 1 species
GACGUAGGAUGCGAGCGUUAUUCGGAUUUAUUGGGCGUAAAGCGUGCGUAGGCGGCUGUUUAAGUCUGGUGUUAAAGCUAGGGGCUCAACCCCUGUGAUGCACUGGAAACUGGGCAGCUUGAGUGCGGUAGGGGAGGGUGGAAUUCCGAGUGUAGCGGUGAAAUGCGUAGAUAUUCGGAAGAACACCGGUGGCGAAGGCGACCUUCUGGGCCGCAACUGACGCUGAGGCACGAAAGCCUGGGGAGCGAACAGG